rnacentral:lncRNA from 1 species
AUAAAUCUUAAUUAAAUAUGAUAAAGCUUAUUUAUAUUAUUUAAAAAUCCUAAAAAAAUAUUACAAGAAAUUCUUUUAUAAAAAAAUUCUUUUAAAAUCCUUCUAAAAUUCUAAUCCAGUACAUCCCAUUAAACUUUUAUUGCUUUCACAGAUAUGUCAAGACAUCCUAAUAAUGGAGUGGAAACUAAAGAAACACGCAUAACAAAACGAUUCAGACAGAUACAAAGUGAUUCAUACUUGAUCUCAUAUAAGAUUACUUUCUUAGGUACAUGCCAAACGUUUUUCUCUAAUAAACUUAGCAAAAGCCACCAUUUUCUCAUGGUCUGGGAGGUUUUCUUUAAUAACUGCAACAUCCUUGAAAUUAUUAUACCAUGAAUGCAAGUGAGGGAAUUUCUCAUCUUCCAGGACCUUCGCGUCAAGAAUAUCUUCUGCAACCACAAGAAUUUUGAAUAUGGACCCAAAAGCUAUGUCCAUAAUGUUAAUAAUGUCUCCCCCAAAAAAUUUCUUCUGAUCACCAAAACACUGAUUCUCA